AAUAGCUAAUUGUAAAAUAAUUUUUGCAGUAUCAAUUAUGUUGAAUAAAGUUCUGAGUAAAUUUAUAUAAUGACUUUAUUUAUUCACGUGUCUUGACCAAAUUGCGUGCCAGCAGUCGCGGUAAGACGUAUAAGACUAGCGUUAUUCAUCUUGAGUAGGUUUAAAGGGUACUUAGACGGCAAAUCAAGCCAUAGUAGGACUAGUUUGCUAGAGUUACUUGUGAAGGGGCUUCAAAGUACUAUAGGAGUAGCGAUAAAAUGCUAAGAUACCAAAAUGGCACAGGUAAAGGCGUAGGCUUCCCCUUAUGUGAUAACUGACGUUGAAGGACGAAGGCUUUGGGUUGCGAAUAGGAUUAGAUACCCUAGUAGUCGGAGCAGAAAAUGAUGAGUGUCAUAGAUUGGAUAUAUUUUAAUUUAUAAAUGAAAGUGCAAGCACUCCACCUUAUGAGUAAAGUGGCAACACCGGAAUUGAAAUCAUUAGACCGUUUCUGAAACCAGUAGUGAAGUAUGUUGUUUAAUUUGAUGAUCCACAAAAAACCUUACCGCGACUUGAAUACUUAUAUUUUUAAUAUAGAUACAAGCGUUGCACGGCUGUCUUAAGUUAAUGUCGUGAGAAUUUGGUUAGCUCCAUUAAAUUGACGUAAACCCUUGUUUUAUUUUUAAAUAAAAUAGUUCACCAUUAUAAUGGAUAUGAUAAUAGGGACAAAGACAAGUCAUCAUGGCCUGAAUGUCGCGGG
rnacentral:rRNA from 1 species